rnacentral:rRNA from 1 species
GAUGAACGCUGGCGGCGUGCCUAACACAUGCAAGUCGAGCGAUUCUCUUCGGAGAAGAGCGGCGGACGGGUGAGUAACGCGUGGGUAACCUGCCCUGUACACACGGAUAACAUACCGAAAGGUAUGCUAAUACGAGAUAAUAUAUAAGAGUCGCAUGACUUUUAUAUCAAAGAUUUUUCGGUACAGGAUGGACCCGCGUCUGAUUAGCUUGUUGGCGGGGUAACGGCCCACCAAGGCGACGAUCAGUAGCCGACCUGAGAGGGUGAUCGGCCACAUUGGAACUGAGACACGGUCCAAACUCCUACGGGAGGCAGCAGUGGGGAAUAUUGCACAAUGGGCGCAAGCCUGAUGCAGCAACGCCGCGUGAGCGAUGAAGGCCUUCGGGUCGUAAAKCUYUGUCCUCAAGGAAGAUAAUGACGGUACUGAGGA